rnacentral:rRNA from 1 species
GAUGAACGCUGGCGGCGUGCCUAACACAUGCAAGUCGUGCGAUUUACUUCGGUAAAGAGCGGCGGACGGGUGAGUAACGCGUGGGUAACCUGCCCUGUACACACGGAUAACAUACUGAAAGGUAUGCUAAUACGGGAUAACAUAAGAGAGUCGCAUGGCUUUCUUAUCAAAGCUUUUGCGGUACAGGAUGGACCCGCGUCUGAUUAGCUAGUUGGUAAGGUAACGGCUUACCAGGGCGACGAUCAGUAGCCGACCUGAGAGGGUGAUCGGCCACAUUGGAACUGAGACACGGUCCAAACUCCUACGGGAGGCAGCAGUGGGGAAUAUUGCACAAUGGGCGAAAGCCUGAUGCAGCAACGCCGCGUGAGCGAUGAAGGCCUUCGGGUCGUAAAGCUCUGUCCUCAAGGAAGAUAAUGACGGUACUUGAGGAGGAAGCCCCGGCUAACUACGUGCCAGCCGCCGCGGUAA